AGUUAUGAUCAUACCAGCACUAAUGCACCUGAUUCCAUGAGAACUCCGCAGAUAAGCGUGCUUAGGCGAGAGUACUACUAGGAUGGGUGACCUCUAGGGAAGACCUUGUGUUGCAUCUC
rnacentral:rRNA from 2 species